ACUGUUAGGCUUGGGACCGGGAGAGGUGGGAGGUACUCCAGGGGUAGGGGUGAAAUCUCGUAAUCCUUGGGGGACCACCGAUGGCGAAGGCAUCCCACCAGAACGGGUCCGACGGUGAGGGACGAAAGCUGGGGGCACGAACCGGAUUAGAUACCCGGGUAGUCCCAGCCGUAAACGAUGCUCGCUAGGUGUCAGGUGCGGUGCGACCGCAUCUGGUGCCGCAGUGAAAACUUGAAGCGAGUCACCUGGGAAGUACGGUCGCAAGGCUGAAACUUAAAGGAAUUGGCGGGGGAGCACUACAACGGGUGGAGCCUGCGGUUCAAUUGGAUUCAACGCCGGAAAGCUUACCGGGUCAGACAGCAAUAUGAGGGUCAAGCUAAAGACUUUACCGGAUUCGCUGAGAGGAGGUGCAUGGCCGUCGUCAGUUCGUAUCGCGAGACAUCCUGUUAAGUCAGGCAACGAGCAAGACCCGUGCCCACAGUUGCCAGCAUACCCUCCGGGGUGAUGGGCACACUGUGGGGACCGCCGCUGCUAAAGCGGAGGAAGGCGCGGGCUACGGUAGGUCAGUAUGCCCCGAAUCAUCCGGGCUACACGCGGGCUACAAUGGUUGGGACAAUGGGCACCUGCACCGAGAGGUGAUGGCAAUCUCCUAAACCCAGCCUUAGUUCGGAUUGAGGGCUGCAACUCGCCCUCAUGAAGCCGGAAUCCGUAGUAAUCGCGUAUCAAUAUCACGCGGUGAAUACGUCCCUGCUCCUUGCACGCACCGCCCGUCAAACCAUGCGAGUGAGGUCUGAAUGAGGGCACGCUUUUUGGCGUGUUCGAAUUUGGGCUUCGCGAGUGGGGUUAAGUCGUAACAAGGUAACC
rnacentral:rRNA from 1 species